rnacentral:rRNA from 1 species
UACUAAAGUUGUUGCGGUUAAAAAGCUCGUAGUUGAAACUGUGUCCCGCGGCGUCGGUCCACCGUCUGCGGUGCGACGGGCGCGUCAGCGGGGCUUCUCGCCGGUGCGUGUCAUCCGCCGAAACGCGGGCGUCCGCGGUGACGCGGCGCUCGUCGUCGAGGCGGGCCCUCGCGGCUGUUUACUUUGAACAAAUUAGAGUGCUCAAAGCGGGCUUUCAUUCGCCUGAAUAUUGUGCGCAUGGAAUAAUAGAAUAGGACCUCGGUUCUGUUUUGUUGGCUUUCUGAUACCAGAGGUAAUGAUUAAUAGGGACAACUGGGGGCAUUCGUAUUGCGACGUUAGAGGUGAAAUUCUUGGAUCGUCGCAAGACGGACUAAAGCGAAAGCAUUUGCCAAAGGUGUUUUCAUUAAUCAAGAACGAAAGUUAGAGGUUCGAAGGCGAUUAGAUACCGCUGUAGUUCUAACCAUAAAUGAUGCCAGCCAGCGAUCCGCCGAAGUUUCAUAAAUUUAACCCGGUGGGCAGCUCCCGGGAAACCAAAGCUUUC